rnacentral:rRNA from 1 species
CCUACGGGCGGCAGCAGUGGGGAAUAUUGCACAAUGGGGGAAACCCUGAUGCAGCGACGCCGCGUGAGUGAAGAAGUAAUUCGUUAUGUAAAGCUCUAUCAGCAGGGAAGAAAAUGACGGUACCUGAGUAAGAAGCCCCGGCUAACUACGUGCCAGCAGCCGCGGUAAUACGUAGGGGGCAAGCGUUAUCCGGAUUUACUGGGUGGAAAGGGAGCGUAGACGGCAGUGCAAGGCUGGAGUGAAAGGCGGGGGCUCAACCCCCGGACUGCCCUGGAAACUGUACGGCUGGAGUGCAGGAGAGGUAAGUGGAAUUCCUAGUGUAGCGGUGAAAUGCGUAGAUAUUAGGAGGAACACCAGUGGCGAAGGCGGCUUACUGGACUGUAACUGACGUUGAGGCUCGAAAGCGUGGGGAGCAAACAGGAUUAGAUACCCUUGUAGUC